AGAGUUUGAUCCUGGCUCAGAACGAACGCUGGCGGCAGGCCUAACACAUGCAAGUCGAGCGAGACCUUCGGGUCUAGCGGCGGACGGGUUAGUAACGCGUGGGAACGUGCCCUUCUCUGCGGAAUAGCCACUGGAAACGGUGAGUAAUACCGCAUACGCCCUUCGGGGGAAAGAUUUAUCGGAGAAGGAUCGGCCCGCGUUAGAUUAGAUAGUUGGUGGGGUAAUGGCCUACCAAGUCUACGAUCUAUAGCUGGUUUUAGAGGAUGAUCAGCAACACUGGGACUGAGACACGGCCCAGACUCCUACGGGAGGCAGCAGUGGGGAAUCUUAGACAAUGGGCGCAAGCCUGAUCUAGCCAUGCCGCGUGUGUGAUGAAGGUCUUAGGAUCGUAAAGCACUUUCGCCAGGGAUGAUAAUGACAGUACCUGGUAAAGAAACCCCGGCUAACUCCGUGCCAGCAGCCGCGGUAAUACGGAGGGGGUUAGCGUUGUUCGGAAUUACUGGGCGUAAAGCGUACGUAGGCGGAUCAGAAAGUUGGGGGUGAAAUCCCGGGGCUCAACCCCGGAACUGCCUCCAAAACUCCUGGUCUUGAGUUCGAGAGAGGUGAGUGGAAUUCCAAGUGUAGAGGUGAAAUUCGUAGAUAUUUGGAGGAACACCAGUGGCGAAGGCGGCUCACUGGCUCGAUACUGACGCUGAGGUACGAAAGUGUGGGGAGCAAACAGGAUUAGAUACCCUGGUAGUCCACACCGUAAACGAUGAAAUGCCAGUCGUCGGGCAGUAUACUGUUCGGUGACACACCUAACGGAUUAAGCAUUCCGCCUGGGGAGUACGGUCGCAAGAUUAAAACUCAAAGGGAAUUGACGGGGGCCCGCACAAGCGGUGGAGCAUGUGGUUAAUUCCGAAGCAACGCGCAUGACCUUACCAACCCUUGACAUCCUGUGCUAACCGAGAGAUCGGGC
rnacentral:rRNA from 1 species